rnacentral:lncRNA from 10 species
UUUGAAACUUAGAUGGAACUAUUGGGACUAGAAGCUAUCUUUACAGACAUGGGCCCAUGGCUGCCUGCAGACAAUUUGGUACCUCAUGAGGACAACCUGUCCCAGGGUGAGGCCAAUACAGAGGAGAUCCAAACUGGGAUAUGAUCAAGGAGCAUUUGAGUGGCUGGAGCUAGCCAUGUCUGAAGCUGACAUAACUUGACUGUGAGCUCCAUAUGGAUGAGCACUUGAUUUCUCCCACCACAGUGUCUGCAGAACACAGAGACAGCUCUGUCUCUCUCUUGAUCCAUGUGUUUUGGGAGAUCUGGCCCCACUUCCUAUCUCCAUGAAAUUUCAGUGUUACCCUGGGUUUUUUUUUGUUUUUUUUUUUGAGACAGAGUCUCUCUCUGUUGCCCAGGCUGGAGUGCAAUGAUGCGAGCUCAGCUCACUGCAACCUCCACCUCCUGGGUUCAAGCGAUUCUCCUGCUUCAGCCUCCCCAAUAGCUGGGAUUACAGGUGUGUGCCACCAUGCCCAGCUAAUUUUUGUAUUUUUAGUAGAGAUGGGGUUUUACCAUGUUGGCCAAGCUGGUCUUGAACUCCUGACCUCAAGUAAUCCGCCUCGGCCUCCCAAAGUGCUGGGAUUACAGGUGUGAGCCAUUGCGCCCUGCCUCAUCCUGGCUUUUAAGUCAGUCAGUAGGAAUGGUCAUUAGGUCUGGGACGUUUUGUUCAAACUCUUGGGAAAGAAAGGCUGUCUUCUCAGCUUGACUUGGCAUUGUGAGACUAUGAAGCUAACGAGACUGCUGCCACCUCACCAUCUUCAGGAGUUGGCCCAUGUAAGAAUGGGAGCCAAGAAAAGAAAAGAAUAAAUACUGAGUUCUGACGACACCAUCUGAGCUCCACAAAACGGGCAUCUCUCCUCCAUUGGACUUCCCUUUUGUAUGCAUCCAAUGGAAGGGAGAAAACUCAUCUUCUCUUCGCAACUGGAGUUUUCUCAUCAUCUAG